CUGGCUAAGCAACGGACAGAUAUAGGAGUAUUUGGACGGUUUCCUUUACUUACUAGGACUAGGAAUAAUGACUUGUGCUCGGUGAACGUAUAUCUUUUAUUUUAUGCUCCUAUUUGGACUUUUUUUUCUUUUUUUCUUUUUUCCUAUUUGGACUCAAACUUGUAUUAGGAGAAGUCUUGGGGGCAAAUAUAGAAUUUUCAUUUUUCCAGUACUCCCUUCUUUCGUUCUUCCGCCUCGACGCCACAAGCUUCUCGUCGCCGUUCACUUACCGGCAAGAGAAAGAACGAUGGAUUUUUCCGACGAGUGGAAGUCUCUAUGGCCAAUAUGUUCAUCAUAUUCCCCACCACUUCUCCUCUCAAAUUCACACGAAGAAUCCUCUUCGAAACGGCGCCGUAUUGAUUGUCCAAUUGGACCUUUGAUUUUCAGACCAUGUGAAGAAACGCUGAAACUAAUCCUUCGCUCGCCAUUGCUAUCAAAUCGGCUUCCUCCCCCGGUUCCUGACCUCUCUCUACCAAGAUUCCUUCAAACUUCAAGUGGUGUGCUUUUUUCUACAGCUUCUUCAAUUGCUACACAGUUUACUCCACAGGUUUCUGACUCAAUUCACAACUUUAAUGCAAUCCAAUUUCUUCCUCUUCCUAAUGUUGGUGAAAAUAGUAAACCCAAUUCAAUUAUAGGAAUUUCUCCAACUGGGGAGAAUUAUGACCAAGUUGGGUUUUUUAUGCUCUGUUCUGAAGAUACCCAAUUUGUGGCUAAGAAAUUCAAGAGCCGGACAUCCUUUUUAGUGCAUAAUCACAAGCUGAAUUUUAGAAUUUUGAGGUUAUUAGUCAACCCAGUUGGUGAAAUUGAUGAUACUUGUUCAUCUGGUUAUAUUACUUUUGGGUACUUAUUGGUUUGUACUUUGUAUUCUGUUCAUUGGUAUAGCGUGAAGAUAGGGUUUAAAGGAGAUGAAAAUGUUAUGUUAGAUUAUGUGGGUAGUGCUGAUAGAAACUUGCUCAAGGGUGGGACUGUUUCUCAUGCUUGUUGGAGUCCACAUUUGAGAGAAGAGUGUGUGGUGGUGUUGGAAAAUGGGGAUUUGUUUUUGUUUGAUAUGGGUUCUUGCAGAAAGAGUCGGGCUUUCUGUGCUUCUGAUGUAUUGCAAGGGAAGAAAUUGCAGGUUUUGUGGGAUAAGUUGGAUAGAGAUGAACAGUGGGUAAGCUGUGAAUUUAGCUGGCAUCCAAGGAUUUUGAUUGUUGCAAAUUCAAGGGCUGUGUUUUCAGUGGAUUUGAGGUCAGACAAGUGCAAAGUCUGCACCUUGCUAAAUAUUGAGGCAGUGUCGUUGGGUAGAACUGAUAGAUUUCUAGCACUUUCUAGAGUAGAGUCUGACCCCUUCUGUUUUACUGCUGUUUCUGGAUGCUUCCUUCUUCUUUGUGAUGUGCGGAAGCCAUUGAUGCCAUUGUUGCGGUGGGUACAUGGUCUGAAUAAUCCGUCUUAUGUGACUGUUUUGAGAUUGUCUGACCUGAGGCAGCGUAAUAGAGAUGAUAAAUGGGCAUGGGCUACUGAAUCAGGGCGUUGCAUUUUGGUAGGAUCAUUCUGGGACUGUGAAUUUGCUCUAUUCUGCUAUGGACCAGGUAGCAAUCACAGCCAGAAAUUACCAGAAAUUUCGAGGCUCAGUAAAUCAGUCUAUGCUUGGGGACAACCUUCAAGCCUCUCACUGUCUGGUCGUGAUUGUUGUUGUGAAAGUUGUCUUAUGAGAGCAUAUUUCUCUGAAGACAUUCUUCCUGAUUGGAUUGAUUGGAGGCAAAAGAAAGUCAUUGUCUUGGGGUUUGGUAUUCUCAACAAUGGCAUUUCUAUCCAAUCAGAUGAUGCUGAUAGCUCUGCUGGCUUUUUCCUUGUAAGGUUAAUGUCCUGUGGCAGUUUGGAAGCUCAGAGAUACACUGCAUCAUGGGACUCUGAGGAAAAGUCAGAGGCACCUUAUGGAGGAAAUUUUCUGUGUUCUGGAAAUAACCUUCUAUAUGAUAUGAGUGUUGGAAAAUUGAAACUGAAAAAGAGCCACAUCUACGUGGGCCUUGACUUUCUUAAAGAGUAUCUGAAUGGAAAACUAACUAAACUCCUUAGUAGGAAAUACAUAGAGAAUCAAAAGGAUUCUGAAGAAAACCGGUCAGAGUUCCACCAGCAAAUAUGUCAGAAACUUAAAGAAUGUGGCGUCACAAGACUGGGAUCAUCUCUAACCGUUUUUGAUGUUAUCAAAGAUAUCAGCUUGCCAGCAAGCAUUUAUGAGAUUGCGCUAGAAAGCAUUAGCACCAGUUUGCCUAAUAAUCUUCUGGGAUUCACUUUCUCUGCCUUGUUGAGAUUCCCUGAAUUUCCCCUGAAACCAAAGAAACGUUCUCUAGAAUAUACUGACAUUGUUGACAAACUAUAUCCACUGCCUUUUCCCUUGCAUAAAUGUUGUAUUGAUGAGACACCAGAAAAAGUUCAGUCUUGUAGUUCUUCUGCUCCCGUUCUUCCUCCUCCUUUUCUGGUAGCUCUUAAUGACCUUCGAAUUGCAGAAAGAGAUAUAUUGCCACUUGAUGCUGAACUGAGGCUUCAGAGUGAUAAAGUUAUGAAGGUGGCCCAUGAAAUAGGUCUGUCACACUUUGGUAGUGAGCCUGGUGAUGGCUAUUCGGUUUCCCUUGAUGCAGAUACUGAAUGCCCUAGCGAUUGGCAAAAUAUGAUGCCUCUCUGUUUACAUGAACCUUUGGCAUUCUCUGACUGUUAUAUGUCAAAAAUGGAUUUGGGAGUAGAACCUGAUAAAAGAUUUACAACCUUCAUCUAUAAAAAACACAAAGAACCUAUCUCAAAUGCUAGCAAAGAGAUGACAGGAGUGGAGUUGUUCGAUGAGGGGUGUCCAGUAGAGCUCAAAUUCAAUGAUAGUCUCACAAUGCGGGGGGCAAAUGAGCUGGAAACUUUUAAAUUGUUGAAACAAAAGGAUUUAGGUUUUCAGAAAAAAUUUCAGCUGUAUCAAGAGUAUUUAACUGGAUGUCAUAAGUAGAGACAAGUGUUCAUCAAGAAAUACUACUUUCAAGGAGGGAACCACGCAUGACAGAUUGAAAUGGAAGAAGCUGAAUUGUACACACUCAAGAAUUCAAGACAGAAUGGGUCCACGACAGUCACCAUUUCAUUUCAAAGAUAAUGGAACUCUAUGGGGGUUGAUGGGAAGACCAAAUCAAUAGCAAGACAAAUUGUCAUCAACUAAACAAGUUCACCCAUACCUGGAGCUGCUUUUGCAUUCUG